UACGGUCACAUCACGUUCAAGCACCCGUCCCCAUACGUUCACCGAAGUUAAGCAAUGUCGAACCUGGUCAUUACUUCGACGGAUGACCGCUUGGGAAUAUCAG